GCCUCCUUAGCUCAGUCGGUAGAGCACGCGGCUGUUAACCGCGGUGUCGUAGGUUCGAGCCCUACAGGAGGCGCCA
rnacentral:tRNA from 1 species